CGGGUAGAGGCAGGCCCACAGCAUGUCCUCCAAGGUUUACUCCACAGGCUCCAGAACUAAGGACCACCAGCCCUCGGGUGCGGAGUGUCUGCCACUCCCAGAGGCCAAUGCUGAAGCCAUCGACUUCCUCAGCUCCCUCCGUGAGCUCAGACAGUGUCGGGGUUGGGGGUGCGGGAGGGGUGCAAGUCUGGAGAGGAGGGAAGAAAGAAAGUCCAGUCUCUCUCUCUCUCUCUCUCUCUCUCUCUCUCUCUCUCUUCCUUGAUUCUCCUGGGACUCAGAAAAGGCCUGAGGCCUGUUUGUUGACAUUCUUCAAGGGAAGGCCCCCCGGGGACAUGGGGACAUGGGGACAUGGGGCGGGAGUCUUCACCUGUCCGUGCCAGUGAGGAAGGCUGUGGGAUGAGGAGGCAGGUGGGGACUGUGGGGACACUGGUGGUCAUGGGGUCAGAGGAUUGGAUUGGGGCCCAGGAGCAGGGGCUUUAUCUGUUCCCACGGGCCCCUCACCCCAGACGAGGAGGAGCUACAGAUGCUGUUCUUCUCUGAGACGCUGGCCAUGGUCUCAGACACCGGGGAGCCUCAGGGAGAGCUGACCAUUGAGGUGCAGAGAGGGAAAUACCAGGAAAAACUCGGCAUGCUGACAUACUGCCUCUUCGUGCAUGCCUCUAGCCGAGGCUUCUUGGACAAAAUGCUCUGCGGAAAUUCCCUCCUGGGUAGCGUUCCUACUGCCUGAUGCCCGUCACUCUCCCCUUCCUCCACCCCUCCCCUC
rnacentral:sRNA from 1 species